CGAGGGGAGCGAGGGGCCGCGGACCGGCGCCAUAGAGGCGGGCGGUUCGAGGAAAGUCCGAGCUCCGCAGGGAAGGGUGCCGGGUAACACCCGGGCGGCGAAAGCCGACGGAAAGUGCCACAGAGAACAGACCGCCAGCAGCCGGGUGCCUGCGUGGCGCCCGGUCGCCGGUAAGGGUGAAACGGUGGGGUAAGAGCCCACCGCCCGCGCGGGUAACCGCCGGGGCACGGCAAACCCCACCCGGAGCAAGGCCAAGCAGGGGAGAGCGGUGACCCGCCGCGUUCUCAUCCCCGGGUAGGCCGCUGGAGGCGUCGGGCAACCGGCGUCGCAGACGAAUGGCCCCCUAGAACAGAACUCGGCUUACGGCUCCCCUCCGCGG
rnacentral:RNase_P_RNA from 2 species